rnacentral:rRNA from 1 species
GACGAACGCUGGCGGCGUGCUUAACACAUGCAAGUCGAACGGAAAGGCCCUGCUUUUGUGGGGUGCUCGAGUGGCGAACGGGUGAGUAACACGUGAGUAACCUGCCCUUGACUUUGGGAUAACUUCGGGAAACUGGGGCUAAUACCGGAUAGGAGCUCCUGCUGCAUGGUGGGGGUUGGAAAGUUUCGGCGGUUGGGGAUGGACUCGCGGCUUAUCAGCUUGUUGGUGGGGUAGUGGCUUACCAAGGCUUUGACGGGUAGCCGGCCUGAGAGGGUGACCGGCCACAUUGGGACUGAGAUACGGCCCAGACUCCUACGGGAGGCAGCAGUGGGGAAUAUUGCACAAUGGGCGGAAGCCUGAUGCAGCAACGCCGCGUGCGGGAUGACGGCCUUCGGGUUGUAAACCGCUUUCGCCUGUGACGAAGCGUGAGUGACGGUAAUGGGUGAAGAAGCACCGGCUAACUACGUG